CCCUUAGAUGUCCUGGGCCGCACGCGCGCUACACUGAUGCAUUCAACGAGUUUCUUCCUGGUCCGAGAGGAAUGGGUAACCUUUUGAAAGUGCAUCGUGAUAGGGAUAGACUAUUGCAAUUAUUGGUCUUCAACGAGGAAUUCCUAGUAGACGUAGUUCAUCAGACUGCAUCGAUUACGUCCCUGCCCUUUGUACACACCGCCCGUCGCUCCUACCGAUUGAAUGCUCAGGUGAGCCAUUCGGACUUUCAUCAUGCUGGUUUCCAGUUUUGAUGAAGGAAAGUCUUGCAAACCUUAUCAUUUAGAGGAAGGAGAAGUCGUAACA
rnacentral:rRNA from 1 species